CCUACGGGGGGCAGCAGUGGGGAAUAUUGGGCAAUGGGCGCAAGCCUGACCCAGCAACGCCGCGUGAAGGAAGAAGGCUUUCGGGUUGUAAACUUCUUUUCUCAGGGACGAAGAAAGUGACGGUACCUGAGGAAUAAGCCACGGCUAACUACGUGCCAGCGGCCGCGGUAAUACGUAGGUGGCAAGCGUUAUCCGGAUUGAUUGGGUGUAAAGGGCGUGUAGGCGGGAGCGCAAGUCAGAUGUGAAAACUCAGGGCCCAACCCUGAGCCUGCAUUUGAAACUGUGUUUCUUGAGUGCUGGAGGGGCAGGCGGAAUGCCGGGUGUAGCGGUGAAAUGCGUAGAUAUCAGGAGGAACACCAGCGGCGAAGGCGGACUGCUGGACCGCAACUGACGCUGAGGCGCGAAAGCGUGGGGAGCGAACAGGAUUAGAUACCCGGGUAGUC
rnacentral:rRNA from 1 species